rnacentral:rRNA from 1 species
GACGAACGCUGGCGGCGUGCUUAACACAUGCAAGUCGAGCGGUAAGGCCCUUUCGGGGGUACACGAGCGGCGAACGGGUGAGUAACACGUGGGUGACCUGCCCUCAGCUCUGGGAUAAGCCUGGGAAACCGGGUCUAAUACUGGAUAUGACUCCAUGACGCAUGUUGUGGGGUGGAAAGCCUUGUGCGGCUGAGGAUGGGCCCGCGGCCUAUCAGCUUGUUGGUGGGGUGANGGCCUACCAAGGCGACGACGGGUAGCCGGCCUGAGAGGGCGACCGGCCACACUGGGACUGAGACACGGCCCAGACUCCUACGGGAGGCAGCAGUGGGGAAUCCUGCGCAAUGGGCGAAAGCCUGACGCAGCGACGCCGCGUGAGGGAUGACGGCCUGGUGU